UUUAUUGGAGAGUUUGAUCCUGGCUCAGGAUGAACGCUGGCGGCGUGCCUAAUACAUGCAAGUCGAGCGGAUGGAUUAAGAGCUUGCUCUUAUGAAGUUAGCGGCGGACGGGUGAGUAACACGUGGGUAACCUGCCCAUAAGACUGGGAUAACUCCGGGAAACCGGGGCUAAUACCGGAUAACAUUUUGAACUGCAUGGUUCGAAAUUGAAAGGCGGCUUCGGCUGUCACUUAUGGAUGGACCCGCGUCGCAUUAGCUAGUUGGUGAGGUAACGGCUCACCAAGGCGACGAUGCGUAGCCGACCUGAGAGGGUGAUCGGC
rnacentral:rRNA from 1 species